rnacentral:misc_RNA from 1 species
GAUGAAGAACGUAGCGAAAUGCGAUAAGUAGUGUGAAUUGCAGAAUUCAGUGAAUCAUCGAAUCUUUGAACGCACAUUGCGCCCUUUGGUAUUCCAAAGGGCAUGCCUGUUCGAGCGUCAUUUGUACCCUCAAGCUUUGCUUGGUGUUGGGCGUCUUGUCUCUAGCUUUGCUGGAGACUCGCCUUAAAGUAAUUGGCAGCCGGCCUACUGGUUUCGGAGCGCAGCACAAGUCGCACUCUCUAUCAGCAAAGGUCUAGCAUCCACUAAGCCUUUUUUUCAACUUGUGACCUCGGAUCAGGUAGGGAUACCCGCUGAACUUAAGCAUAUCAAUAAGCGGAGGA